GACGAACGCUGGCGGCGUGCUUAACACAUGCAAGUCGAACGGUAAGGCCCUUCGGGGUACACGAGUGGCGGACGGGUGAGUAACACGUGGGUGAUCUGCCCUGCACUUCGGGAUAAGCCUGGGAAACUGGGUCUAAUACCGGAUAGGACUCCUGGCUUCAUGGUUGGGGGUGGAAAGCUUUUGCGGUGUGGGAUGGGCCCGCGGCCUAUCAGCUUGUUGGUGGGGUAAUGGCCUACCAAGGCGACGACGGGUAGCCGGCCUGAGAGGGUGACCGGCCACACUGGGACUGAGAUACGGCCCAGACUCCUACGGGAGGCAGCAGUGGGGAAUAUUGCACAAUGGGCGCAAGCCUGAUGCAGCGACGCCGCGUGAGGGAUGACGGCCUUCGGGUUGUAAACCUCUUUCAGCGCCGACGAAGCGCAAGUGACAGUAGGUGCAGAAGAAGUCCCGGCUAACUACGUGCCAGCCGCCGCGGUAA
rnacentral:rRNA from 1 species